rnacentral:tRNA from 1 species
GGCGGAGUGGUCGAGUCUGGUUUAUGGCGCUUGUCUUGAAAACAAGAGGCGGUGAUGAGCCGUCCGUGGGUUCAAAUCCUACCUCCGUCGCCA